GGCCCCGUAGCUCAGGGGUUAGAGCGCGUGUCUUAUAAACACGUGGUCGGUGGUUCAAAUCCACCCGGGGCCA
rnacentral:tRNA from 1 species